rnacentral:rRNA from 1 species
UACGGAGGGUGCGAGCGUUAUCCGGAAUCACUGGGCGUAAAGCGUCUGUAGGUGGUGAUGCAAGUCACUGGUGCAAAACUCUGACUCAACCGGAGGAAAGCCAGUGAAACUGCAUGACUAGAGUGUGGGAGAGGUAGAAGGAAUUCCCUGAGUAGCGGUGAAAUGCGUAGAUACAGGGAAGAACACCGGAGGCGAAAGCGUUCUACUGGAACACAACUGACACUGAGAGACGAAAGCUAGGGGAGCGAAUGGG